CCUACGGGCGGCUGCAGUGGGGAAUAUUGCACAAUGGGCGCAAGCCUGAUGCAGCCAUGCCGCGUGUGUGAAGAAGGCCUUCGGGUUGUAAAGCACUUUCAGCGGGGAGGAAGGCGGUGAGGUUAAUAACCUCAUCGAUUGACGUUACCCGCAGAAGAAGCACCGGCUAACUCCGUGCCAGCAGCCGCGGUAAUACGGAGGGUGCAAGCGUUAAUCGGAAUCACUGGGCGUAAAGCGCACGCAGGCGGUCUGUCAAGUCGGAUGUGAAAUCCCCGGGCUCAACCUGGGAACUGCAUUCGAAACUGGCAGGCUAGAGUCUUGUAGAGGGGGGUAGAAUUCCAGGUGUAGCGGUGAAAUGCGUAGAGAUCUGGAGGAAUACCGGUGGCGAAGGCGGCCCCCUGGACAAAGACUGACGCUCAGGUGCGAAAGCGUGGGGAGCAAACAGGAUUAGAUACCCGUGUAGUC
rnacentral:rRNA from 1 species